GUGUAAAUAGGUAUUCUAUGGGUGAAGUGAUACAUAAAUAUAUACACUUAACGUUUUUACAAAUUUAUAUACAUUGUUGUUCUACAUUUCAGAAGAAGUUAAUAGUGUGCAUAAAUUUGUGCGAUAAUGCGGUUGAAGGGAAAUACAUGAUAGAUAAUUGGAAUUGUAUAUGAAGGAAGGUAUUUGAUUAACUUUCAUCAAUUGACCGACAAAACAAUAACGUCACUGAACGCUUGGUUGAAUGCGAAACCUCCGGCAUUUUGGAAAUUUACGGAAGACAUAAUUUUGCAUCAAUAUUAUCCAACGUAAAUAGCACACUUUAAAACUGGAAAACAGUUGCACAAUGAAGUUCCUCAUUUUGAUUGUUGUGUUAGUUGCCAUUCUAUUUCAGUGUAUUGUGGAUUGCCAAGGUAAUAAUAAUAAUAAUAAUAAUAAUAAUAAUAAUAAUAAUAAUAAUAAUAAUAAUAAUAAUAAUAAUAAUAAUAAAAAAAAAAAAAAAUAAUAAUAAUAAUAAUAAUAAUAAUAAUAAUAAUAAUAAUAAUAAUAAUAAUAAUAAUAAUAAUAAUUAAUAAUAAUAGUAAUAAUAAUAAUAUAAUUUUUUUUUCAAAAGAGGGUGAACCAAUUAGUUUUCCUUUAUCUUACUUUGGGGCCUCAUGUAGUAAGUAAAUUAUUGAUAUAACUGUAUAUAUACAUAAAAUUAAACUAAUUCAUAGUGUGCAUAAAAAUAAAUGAUCUAUGUGGUUUGACAGAGAUAUGUGAAAAAAACAUAAAGAUGUUGAUAUUUAUAUGUUUCUUUAUACGCUAUUCCAUAGAAUUGCAGAACUUUACGUAAAGGAUGAUUUAAUGCGCAUCUGGUGCAAGAAAAUUGGUACCGUUAAUUUUAUUACUACCACUGGGUCGUGUGCCUCUGCUGGUGGACUAUUAGUCCCCGAGGGUAUCACCAUCCAGUAGCAGUACUUCGGUACUGGCAUUGAACAUUCGAUUUUUUUGUGUUAUUAAAAUUUCUGUUACAAAAUAUUAGAAAUUAUUAUAAAUUAAGGAAUGUAUCUCCCUCAUGCAAAGCUCUGAUUCCUUUCACGGAUUUGGCUAUACUUUUUGGACCUUUUGGAUUAUAGCUCUUCAUCUUUAUAUAAGCUUUGGAUUUCAAAUAUUUUGGCCACGAGCAUCACUGAAGAGACAUGUAUUGUCGAAAUGCGCUUCUGGUGCAAGAAAAUUGGUACCGUUAAUUUUAUUAAUGAUAUUUGUGUCUGGCCGAAUUACUUCCAAAUUGUAAAUCAAUUUUUUUCAUAAAUUUUCGAGAUUUCAGAUAAUCAGGAGUUUUUUGUUGAACAUUUUAAUACAGGUAUUAGUUUAUCAUAUGGAAUUCUGUCUCACAAACUUUACCAAUUAAAUCUGUCAAAAAGUUGUGUCAUUCUUUUAUUUCAGGUGUUGAUUUUUUCAUAAUUAAAACAGAGCUUGACAGAGAUGACUUAAAUUGUUUAUCGGUAGAACGGACACUUUUUCACACACAGUGUCAGGCUGUGUCAUCAGCAUACAUUUCAAUGUUUUCGUAAAUAUUUUUUAAUGGAAAAUUAUUUUAAAACAAAAUUACACUAAAAGACCCUUGAGGCAAUCCAAAUUUUACAGUUUAUUAACUUAUUAGAAAAUUUCAGGUAAACAUAAUUUUGUGGCGUAUCAAAAGAUCAUUUUUUUAUAUAUAUAUACCGUUGGUUUUCCCGUUUGAAUGGCUUUACACAAGUAAAUUUGGGGCCCUUUAUAGCUUGUUGUUCGGUGUCGAAGGCCGUACCUGGACCUAUAAUCGUUGACUUUUUUAAUUUGUUAUUUGGAUGGAGAAUUGUCUCAAUUGCACUCAUACCACAUCUUCCUAUAUCCAUAUAAAUGACAUGUAGUUUUUGUUAUUUAUGUCAAUUAAAAUGUUUUAAAAAUAUGCCUGAAUGUGUGAUACAUUACAAAUGAUUUGUACAAAUGCACGAAGCUUGAUGAUCAAUAUUAGGACUUUUCAUUCUUGAUGGCAUUUGUGAUCCACCAUUAUCUACAUAAGAAAAUGCCUGUACCAAGUCGUGAAUAUGACAGUUGUAAUCUAGUCGUUUGAUGUGUCUGUGAUUAUGAUAAUCAAUUAUUAAGUUGUUGAGUGAACAUUACUGUGAUGGCAACCUGCAACAAAUGACAUAAAAACUCAAAAUAAGUAACAGAAAACAAAAAUGCACAAAAUCCUGCCCCCCUUCCACACACACACACACACACACACACACAUUUUGAUAAAAUAACGACGUCAUUUUAAUAAUCACUAAAUAUAAUACUUGAUAAAGUUGGAUGAAAGGUAUAGGGGGAGGGUUGAGAUCUCACAAAAAUGUUUAACCCCGCCUCAUUUUUCGCCUGUCCCAAGUCAGGAGCCUCUGGCCUUUGUUAGUCUUGUAUUAUUUUAAUUUUAGUUUCUUGUGUACAAUUUGGAAAUUAGUAUGGCGUUCAUUAUCACUGGACUAGUAUAUAUUUGUUUAGGGGCAAGCUGAAGGACGCCCUCCGGGUGCGAGAAUUCUCGCUACAUUAAAGACCUGUUGUGACCUCUGCUGUUGUUUUUAUUUUGGUCGGGUUGUUUUGUCUCUUUGACACAUUCCCCAUUUCCAUUCUCAAUUUUAUUCUAAAUUUUGAAAGUUUAACAUAUUUACUUUCUAAUCUUUACAAUUAUUAUAAAAUAAGAAUGGAUAUGGGGAAUUUGUCAUAAGACAACAAACCGACUAAGAGUAGAAAACAACCAAAGUGCACCAACAAGUCUCCAAAAUAUGAGUAUGAGUCCUACGUUAGAACAGGUACCAAAAUAAACUAAGCAAAAUUAUAAUUAUACAUAAAUUAGCAAAGGAAUACUAACAGUUACUGACAUGACAGCUUAAGACCUCAAUUAAACUGAUUGAAAGAUUAUGUCUUUAAUAUAUGAAAAUCAGGCACAAUCUGUCCUGUUCGGGGUUAAGCAUCAAACCAUCUUAACAAUGUCCGAAGAUAGUUAUCAAAGGUACCAGGAUUAUAAUUUAUUAAGACCAUAACCUGUAGCACGCCAGCAACUACUAUAACAACAACACAUAUCAAUUAGCUGUUCUGUGUAAAAAAAAGUUUUAAUGUUUUUAAACCCGCUGCAUUUCAAUUACACAUGUCUUAAUAGUUAUCAAAGGUAUCAGAAUUAUAAUUUGAUAUGCCAGUCGCGCGUUUCGUCUACAAAAGACUCAUCAGUGUCCCUCAGAUCAAAAUAGUUGUAAAACCAAACAAGUACAAAGUUGAGGAGCAUUGAGGACCCACAAUUCCAAAAAAGUUGUGCCAAAUACGGCUAAGGUAAAUUACUCCUGAGAUAAGAAAAUCCUUAGUUUUUCGAAAAAAAAAAAGUUUUAUAACAGGAAAUUUAUAAAAAUGACCAUAUAAUUGAUAUUCAUGUCAACACCGAUGUGGUGACUUACUAGGCUCAUGAUACCUUUGGGGACAAAACGUCCACCAGCAGUGGCAUCGACCCAGUGGUGUAAAUAGUUAGAAAAGGUUUUAUACAAUUUUGGAGGUUUUGAGACAAGGCUCUAUGUUGAAUGCCUUAAUUUGACCUAUAUUGGUUUACUUUUACAAAUUAUGACUUGAAUGGAGAGUUGUCUCGAUGGCACACCUUCUUUAUUCUUAUUUACAAUCUUCAAACUAUUCUCGAUUGAAAGUGUUCUUGGAUGAACCUAUUGAAAUGAAUGACAAAAAAUAUUUGGAUCGAUCAAAAGAAGCAACACACCCAAUGUAUAUUAUGAUAUUCAACCUUUUGUUUGGCAUAAUGGAAUUGUAUUAUGGGCCUAUACGUUUGUACACGUUUAUCAACAGCCCAAUUGAUAUCUUGCCUUAACCAUUGUUUUCAAAAUUAUAAUAUAAUGAUUGGUUGGUGGUUUUUGCACAAUAGGUAAAAAAAGAAGUAUAAUUAAAUAGUUAGAUAAGGAGUACAUAUAUUUUCGUAAUUUAUCUAAUAAAGGAAAAUUGAAAAAUUUACACUUUCAAUAUAUGAUUAUCGAUAUGUAAUGGAUGCAGCCAUGACAUGUUCAUAUGAGUUAGAUGUGUAGUCAUUUAUUCUGUUCAGGCCCUGUGAAUGUGAAAGAUAACAGGACGGCCACAAAUACUUUAGGUCUAGUUUUUUUUUAACUUUCAUCAACGAUAUGUUUUCUCUUUGUUUGUGGCAUAAUCAUGCCGAUUGCAAUACCCUUUCAAAAUCCCGUUCGUCUAAUGCCUUAGUGAUUUACUCAUUGGAGGAAGUGAGUGGUUCACUGAUUUCAUGGUUCUCACUAAAUAAAAUGCAGGAUAAUCCUGAAAAAUGUCAAGCCUUAGCAAUUGGUAGUAAAACACAUGCAACCAACAUAGUCUUCAACUUAAAUUGACAGAACAUCAAAUGCGAUGAUGAAGUAAAAUUACUUGGAGUGACCAUUGAAAUUUAACCAACACAUGAUGGUUUUAUACUAAUAAUUUUGGGGCCCUUUAUAACUUGUUGUUCGGUGUGAGCCAAGGUUCCGUGUUGAAGGCCGUACAUUGACCUAUAAUGAUUUACUUUCAUAAAAUGUUAUUUGGAUGGAGAGUUGUCUCAUUGGCACUCAUACCACAUCUUCCUAUUUCUAAUUAAAUAUUCUGAAAAGAAUAGGGAGAUCACAUUUGGAUUAACUGGCAAAAAUGACAAUUUAUUAUAACUUUCAUCAUAUUUCAUAUCUAAGUUUCUACCCACUCACAUGACAUUGAAAAACUGCAAAGACAAGUGCUCUGACUCAACUUAAAUAACUAUAAUAGUUUUCACGAACAACUAUUUGAUCAAAUCUAAACUUUCAACACUUAAUAUCAAAUCCACGAGAACCAUGGCAUUACAAACUUGCAAAAUUUUGAUAAAAUUCAUCGGGAGUCCUCACACAAAAUAUUAAUAUUAAGAUGAUUCAUAUAAUUUUAGAUACUUACAAAGAGAUGAUAAACUUCGACAAAGAAUUAAAAGAACCAGGUAUUGUAAUAGAACCUUAAGCUUUGGGUUAGCAAAGUUGUAGAACUCCCAGCCUAAGCAUGCAUGGAGCCGCUCAACUUUGGAACAGUUGGAACAUUUUCUUUCAAUACAUUGUUCUUCAGAUAACUGCUUCUGAAGCUCACAUAGACAAUAACAUUGCUGUCCCACAGCUGAAGUCUUCUAGCCCUAAAUUUUCUGUUUAUUGUUUGCUUCUAUUUCAAUUAUUUGAUAGUGAUUUUGUCUCAGUACCAGUUCAAGCAAAAUUUGAUUUUCUUUUUCAAUUUAACUUGAUUGCUCUGAUUUAAGCAUUUUGCUUAUCUAUUAAAUUAUGUAUGUGCUUUAAUUUAUAUGUGUGCUGAGUUAAUUUGUACAAUGUUCCAACUGUUCCAAAGUUGAACGCAUGAGAACCAUGACAUUAGAAACAUACAGAAUUAUGACAAAUUCUAGUCCAGAGUCCUAUAUCAAUAUUUAGAUAAUUUAUAUAAUUUUAGAUUCUUACCAACAGUUUAAUAUUCCCUACGGCAAAGAAAUACAAGG
rnacentral:lncRNA from 1 species